CUUUCUACUUUUUUUUUUAAGUUUUUUUUUUGGCGAUUAUUGGUGCUUUGCAUUUCCAUAUGUAUUUUGGCAUCAGCUUUUUAAGUUCAGCAAAAUAUAUCUGCUAGGAUCUUGAUAUAGUUCUGUUAGAUCUACAAAACUGCAGUUAUUCAGAUCACUGUUCCCAGAGUUAACAUAUCAGUGCUUGCUGACUACUCUCAAGGUAUUAUUUUUAUAUUUAGUUUUAAUAAACUUAACUACUAUGUGUUUGAUAUGGAUUAUUUUUAGUUCAUAAUAGUUUGAAAUCGCUGAGUUUCUUAGGCUGCAUGUUUAUGUGUUUCUCAAAAAUUGGGACGUUUUUAAACUACUAUAUAUUCAAAUAUUUUAUCAGCUGAAAAACUAUUUUCUCCUUCUUUGAUUACAAUUACUUUAAUGUUAGACAUUUUUUUAAUGCCCAGGUCUUUUUUUUUUUCUUUUUUAAAUUCAUUUUGUUUCUGCCAUUUAAAUGGGAUAAUUUCUCUUGAUCUAUCUUCAAAUUAGCAUAUUCUUUUCUCUGUCAUUUCUAUUCUUCUAUUUAGCCCACUCAGUAUUUUAUUUUAGCUACUGGAUUUUUUAUUCUAAAGUUUUCUUUUGCUCUUUUUUAUAUCUUCUGUUUCUUGUCUAAGAUGUUCUAUUUUUUUCUAUUUUUUUCAAGCAUGUUUACAAUUGCAUGUUAGAAAAUUUUGAUGGCUGUUUUAUAAUUUUCGUUAAUAAUUCUAAUCUGUUUCACCUCUGGGUUAAUAUCUAUUGAUUGUGUUUUCUUGCUUAAGUUGAGAUUUUCCAGUUCUUGAUAUGAAUAGUAAAUUUAGAUUCGAUUCUGGAUUUUUUUAGUGUUACACAUGAGACUCUUUUCUGUUUUAAUAUUAUAUUUUAGCAGGUAUUCUGCAUGUUUUGGGUCAAUUUUGUGGAAUGUGUUUUUUCAGUUUGGUUUUGAAGUCUUGCAGUGCUAUUCUAAUCUUUUCUAUUUGGUGAUAUCCAGAGACUCACCUGAAACCUGGGCAUUAUACCAUGCUGUAGUCCUGCUCUCAAAAUUCUUGCAACUCCACAUACUUUAUCUACCAUUGAGAACAGGUCCAGUUUUCAGACUGUCAAACCACUCAGUGUGCUGGGAGGCUCUCUUACUGGGAUGGUGUACAGAGGAGGAACUUCUGUCCCCAAGUUCUAGGACACUCAGCUCCAUCUGCUAA
rnacentral:lncRNA from 1 species